rnacentral:ncRNA from 1 species
AAAAAAGCGAUGACCCAGGAAGAGUAGAAAAGAAGCUCCCCCGACAGAGAGACCGGAACAGGUGAGAGCCGGUCAGGGCAGGAAUCUUUUUGAAUGCACCUGCGAGCUGUCCUCUGGAAAGCAAGCCGAGUAUAGAGGAACGUACCUCCUGCGUUAAAGGGAAAAGCGAUAAAUUUGAAGUGGAACCGCGGAAUUAUUACUCCGCCUUCAUC